ensembl:lncRNA
AAAUUGUUGGCAGUAAAAUGUCAUCAACAUUUAAAUGGAAACUUUUGUAUCAUAUCAUUCUAAAUGUGUGUUUUUUUAAAAAAAAAUCUCAUUAUAAUCUCAUUAUCAUAAAACGUAACAGGUUGUCACAUCAAAACAUACUGGGAAAAGAUGCUAUAUCAUAUCUAUGUCCAUAAUAAAUGGGCAUGAGAGUUAUUUUUGAAGUAAUGAUCUAAAAAUGUAGUGUAGACAAGCAGUUUUUGGGUUACUCAAAGCUUGACUAUUUUUGGGGUUUGGGGUGAGGAGCACACACACAUUCACACACUUCUCUGGCAGCUGACUAUGACCUCUUCUGCCCCACAGACUAACAGAUUCAACCACACACACACACACCCUGGCACAUACGUUCAAGUGUUUUUUGCUCCAGUUGCCUUCUUUAAUGACUUCAACAUGGGCCUGCCAAUAUUUUUUAUUUUAGCAAUGGUUCUAAAUCUUGCUCACAGAGGGGACAUGCAAGAUUUGGAGACCAGAGACUUGGUUCUUGACCAAACAGUGACAGGGAUUUUGGGGGAGGAGGUCUACCUGCGUUGUCUGUACACUGGACAAAGUAACAUCUUGUACUCCUCCUGGAACCGUUUCGAUUCUACAAAGAAGGCAAAGAAAAUGGCAGGCUACAAAUCCAGCACCAUUUUUUUCAACAGAGAAAACUUUAACAUCCCGGCAUCAAUUACAAACCUCACUGUAAAGAUGAAUGUGACGAGUUUUGAUCAAGAGGGAGAAUACACAUGUGGCUUCGACUCUGAAGAGGACGAAACGAAGGACAGCAUGUUUCUCAGUGUUAUUGCUCGGCCUGAUGUUGACAUAACUGUGAAAGAGGAAGUUGUGAAUAGGACCAUCUACCAUGCUGUCACUUGCUCUGCCUCCGGUGCCAAGCCUAAAGCUGUGAUUAGAUGGGAGAUCUCUGGUGCCCUUCCAAGAGAUGACAUCUUCUCUGUGAACUUGAUUAAUCCAGUUCAUCCCAAUGGCACAACCAGUUCAAUCAGUGUACUUCGCUUCCCCCUAAUUAUGAAUAAUGAGAGCACUGUUACCUGUGUGGUUGAGCAUCCUGCUUUUACUGAACCCAAAAGAGCCAACAUAGAGGUGGACACAUUUGUUUCUCCUGUUAUAAGCAUGGAGACCGUCCUGGUCCAAGAAGGAGGAGAAGACUAUCAAGAGGUCAUAUGUACAGCAACAGGAGGGAGGCCACAUCCAAAUAUCACAUGGAUACUGCCUGAAUUCAGAAACAUGCCACCUUUACAGAGAAAUGUCUCCAAACCAGAUUCAGUUAUCAGUUCAUAUUGGUUCCCUUCAGAUCCUUAUGAAGGAGAAAAUAUCAUUUGUGUCUUUAACUACACUUUUCUCCCAUUCAUAAACUCAAGGACAAUCACUUUGCCAAUUUACUAUCUUUCCUCACUUCAGCUGAAGGACCUUGAUUAUGCCAUUAACAGUGAGAAUCAGACUUCACUGGCGCUUGUGGAGGGGGACACGGACAUUACAAUCGGGAUGAAUGUUUUAGGCAAUGUACCAAGUUAUAAAAUGAAAUGUUCCAGGGAAGGCCAACCACUGCCUGAAGAUGUGGAUGUGGUUGGCAGUGAUCUGUUUAUCAGAGGACCCAUACAGCUGCACCUUGUCGGACAAUAUCUCUGUCAGGUCUCGUACCGUAGACAUCAGGUUUCUUUGCAGUUCACAAUCAAAGUAAAUCUAAAAGUCCUACUGCCAGUGACAUUCCCCCCAAAUAUCAGUGUGAAUUUAGUAGAAAAGUCAGACUAUGUUCACAUUGAGUGUUUGGCCUCCAAUGCUAUUCCCGCUGCAAAUGUGUCCUGGAUUCUUCCACAAGAGAUUAAUAGUACUAUUCAGUCUGAAUACACACACUUUAAUGGAUCUUGCUCUGUUAGAAGUGUGUUGACUGUGCCUAGCUGCAUGACCCGCAAAUCUGUAGUUGAGUGCGUAGUCGACCAUCCUGACUUCAUGGAAAAAGAAAGGAGGCUGAUUGCUCUUCCUGUGUGUGCACCACCGAAUAUAACCCUGCAGUCUGGUGUUGAAUGGGACAAUGGCAUUACAUAUGCAUGGCUGGUGUGUUCAGUGCAGAGCCAGACCCCAGCAACGGCCAUCACCUGGGCUGUCGAGUGCCAUGGCAUUGAUAUGAGCUCUAGUGAAUUUGUAAUGACUCAACCUGUGUUUCAGAAGAGUCAUAUGGUUGUUGCUCAGAGCACGGCACGUAUUCCUAUUCACUCACAUGCCGGAUGCACCGUGACCUGUGUGGUUGAGCAUCGGGGGUUAGAGAAACCAGAGAACAAGAGCAUCGUCCUCCCAUCCCUAGGGCCGUCUGCAAGCCGCGCAUUUCUGGGUGAAGAGAGAUACACUCAGAUUUGGCAUGCUGUGUGUGAGUACAGCGGCGAAGGGGUAAAACCCAACAUCUCCUGGGUCCUUCUUGAUGAAGACACUGUAACUCAGGCGACUACUGAGGUCAAAUAUAAAGGAAUUAAAGUAAAAGUCAAUUCAACUCAUGAAUUUCAACUCAGUCAGUAUGAGGGGAAAGAUUUGAUAUGUCUGAUCCAGAACAAGCUUGGCAGGGAUGAGAGACGGACAAUACGAGUUCCAAAAUACUCUAUUUCAUCUAUUGAGGUUUUAAAUGAAACCACACUUGAUCGUAGAAGUCAUGGCCAAAAUGAGCAUCGUUUAGCACUGCAAGAAAACCUCUCGAAUCAGAAGAUACUUCUCAGAGCCCAUGGCAAUGCUCCAUCAUACAAGACAAUAUGUUACAGGGAGGACGGGUCAGAAGCUGACACCGCAGGCAUGGCAUUGGUUUUUACAGAACCAGUGUCUGAACUGGAUGCAGGACUGUACAUAUGCCACGUAUCGUACCACCACCGCACAUCUAAAGUUUACAUUCGGGUGGAUGUCACUAGUGAAGAGACUCAACACAUGAUAUUCAUCACUAUUUGCUCCACGUCAGCCGCUGCAAUCACCCUCAUCCUGAUUAUCAUUUUGGUUGUCCUCUGCAAAAUUGGGAGAAGUCAAUCAUCACCAAAGAAGAAAGACAGGAGAGAGCGCGAGUCUCUAGCAGCUCUAAUGCAGGACCCUCGCUGCCCAGACAAGACGGUGAUUCCAGGUACGGCUGGGCCGCAUUAUGCUGAGCUUGUGCGCUAUUCCAUUGUUUUUGAUGCUAAAAGCACCGUGUGA